GCCUUGGGCGAGUCAUUUAACCUCCCUGGCCAUUAAAUUUCCUGAAAUCUGAAAUUAGAAUGUUGAGUUGCAUAAUCUAUCUGGUACAUUCCAGGUUAAAAUUCUGGGAUAUCCAUUAUUAGUAAAGAAUAGGAAUUCCCGUCGUGGCUCAGCAGUUAACAAACCCAACUAGUAUCCACGAGGACAUGGGUUCGAUCCCUGGCUUCCCUCAGUGGGUUAAGGAUCCCACUGAGCUGUGGUGUAGGUCACAGGUGCGGCUCCAGUCCCACAUUGCUGUGGCUAUGGUGUAGGCUGGCAGCUACAGUUCCCAGGCUAGGGGUUGAAUCGGAGCUGUAGCCGCUGGCCUACACCACAGCCACAGCAGUGUGGGAUCCGAGCCGCGUAUGCGACCUGCACCACAGCUCGCGGCAACGCUGGAUCCUUAACCCACUGAGCAAGGCCAGGGAUCAAACCUGCAACCUCCUGGUUCCUAGUCGGAUUCAUUAACCACUGAGCCACGAUGGGAACUCCUGUAAAUGUUUUUCUAAGGGAGACAGAGAGAUGCUUAGAAUUUUGACUGCUAUAUUCUCUGGAAAAUUAGAUGAAUCUUUUAUAACUCAAGUUAAUUAUGAUUCUUGAGUAAAAAUAUUCUUACAUAUUGCAGUGACUCAAGACAAACACUGAUUAUUCUGCUUAAUACCAAAAAAAGGGUAGAAGUCUCUAUAUUUAUUUAUAUGGGGCAUUAAAUAAAUUCUUUACAUGUUGCUGUUUUGGGCCACUUAUGUGUUAUAUAAGUGUUUGCACAUAUGUCUGUUAAGUUUAAAUCUGAGCAACUAAUAUUUCAAGAAUUCUCACUACCAGAUUAAAUGUCUGUGGCUUUGAAAAAUGAAUUUUUAAAAAUCUAGUCUGGACAAGGGAGAAAUUAUUGAAUCUUCUAAAAAUGUACAUUGGGCAAAAUGACUGAUAACUUUGCAGUUGGUCAUAAAUACAUAGCAAAUAGCACAUGCAUCUUGUGAGCCCCAACCUGGGGCUAUAUCCUUCUUCCAAGGCUCAUGCUUUCCUAAGUAUCAGGUACCAUAUAUUGGCCCUAGAAUGGUUCUAUUUGUUUUAUCAGCCUACUGCUUCACUUGGCUAUCAUUAGAGAUGGAUUUCUGGAUUUCCAUCUCAUGAAAUACCAAGAGUUUCUUUAAUUUGAAGGUAGCUGAUAUUUACUUGCCUGUUAAAAUCAUGAGAUUGAUUUUAGGGAAGUCUAUAUUUCCGUAUUAUAUCUUUUUGCCUGCAACUUCCCCUUUCCUCCAAAUCUGUGGUAUUCUCACAGUAGAAACAAAUGUCUCGCCAUCUUUCUCUUGCCCAAUUCACUCAAACUUCUAUUUUAUUGUCUGUCUUAAUUUUCAGUACUUUCCCACCUUACUAAUUUUAAUGAGUACAUGAGCAAAGUGUGGUUUUAGUUUACUUUAAAUUUUGAUUACGAAAAACAGAUAGGAGGAAAAUGGCCAAGUUAUAUCAGCUGUUAAAUGCUAUUUAAAAUUAAAAGCAACAAUAAAAAAAUCAUUGACUCAGAACUAUUCUCCUAUAAGCCACAUGGUGUCAGAUACAUUUUCAAAUGCAAAAUUACUUUUGCAAAUAGUUUUGAAUACUUUGUGGGAAAUAAUGAUACAUUGGGUUAGGAAAUUAUGUACAUUUAAUAUAUCAAAAAAAUCGCUGAAAUGGAACUGAGAAGCUGUAAUUUAUUAAUCAGAUACAAGACAUAUUAUGAUGUUGCCUACUCAUGUAUAUAUUCACUGGGCUUAAAAUGCAGUAAAAUUAUAUUUUGUGAAUAAAGCAUUUUGAAUUCCAUUUUAUGCAUUUAAAAUUUUUCCAUUUAUGAAAAAACACAGACAACCUAAUGCUUUUCUUCUUAAAAAUCUUUUAUUUCUUCUGGUCUUUGAAUAUGGUCAGCUUAAUAAAGAGAACAAGAAAAUGUUCUUCCUCAUAAAUAGUGCAUGGAUUCCCACAAUUUUAGGCUAAGGCCCAAUAACAACUUACUGUCAUUUAAACUGUGGAAUAUAAGAAUUCAUUUCAACUAAUAUUAAGUAUGACACAAAUUCUGUAUUAAACUCUACACACAUUAACAAGUAUGUACAAGGCGUUAUGACUUUCCAAGUCUCUGCAGUAUGUUUUUCAUCAUUAAUGUUUUAUGUUUUUUCCCUCUCCAUGCAGAACUGAUCACUUGCUUUAGUGAGACUUCAAAACAGCCCAACCAUUAGAAUUUUUACUUAUGGGAAUUACUGUUGUUGCACAGUGGAAACAAAUCUGCCUAGUAUCCAUGAGGAUGCGGGUUUGUUCCCUGGCCUUGCCGAGUGGGUCAAGGAUCCCAUGUUGCUGUGGCUGUGGUGUAGGCCAGCAGCUGUAGCUUCAAUUCGACUCCUAGCCUGGGAACUUCCAUAUGCUGUACCUGUAGCCCUUAAAAAAAAAAAAAAAAAAAAAAAAAAG
rnacentral:lncRNA from 1 species